AGUAUGUUCGAUAAAACCUAACUAAUUCUUUAGGAAAUCCAAUUAUUGCAUAUAUGCGAUGCUUGGAUUACUGUUUCUGAAUUAUCGUAUUAAUUUAUUAUAUUUUGUUGUUGGGGUCGCCAAGUGCGGGCGAUUGGCCAUAUAACUCGAGGGUUACUUUAUGUACCUAUCAACGUCAUUUCAUUGUCGACUAUGCAAUGCAAGUUUACGGAAAUGCGCUUGGAUAGCAUUUAAAUUCGUUUUAGGUAACACUUCAAUGAUUAUGACGUUACGGGUGAUUAACUCGUACGAUUGUAAACCUAAAUUUAUCACU